rnacentral:rRNA from 1 species
CAAGCCUGAUGCAGCAACGCCGCGUGGGGGAUGACGGCCUUCGGGUUGUAAACCUCUUUUAGUAGGGAAGAAGCCUUUCGAGGUGACGGUACCUGCAGAAAAAGCACCGGCUAACUACGUGCCAGCAGCCGCGGUAAUACGUAGGGUGCGAGCGUUGUCCGGAAUUAUUGGGCGUAAAGAGCUCGUAGGCGGUUUGUCGCGUCUGCUGUGAAAUCCCGAGGCUCAACCUCGGGUCUGCAGUGGGUACGGGCAGACUAGAGUGCGGUAGGGGAGAAUGGAACUCCUGGUGUAGCGGUGGAAUGCGCAGAUAUCAGGAAGAACACCGAUGGCGAAGGCAGUUCUCUGGGCCGUUACUGACGCUGAGGAGCGAAAGCGUGGGGAGCGAACAGGAUUAGAUACCCUGGUAGUCCACGCCGUAAACGUUGGGCGCUAGAUGUGGGGACCAUUCCACGGUUUCCGUGUCGCAGCUAACGCAUUAAGCGCCCCGCCUGGGGAGUACGGCCGCAAGGCUAAAACUCAAAGGAAUUGACGGGGGCCCGCACAAGCGGCGGAGCAUGCGGAUUAAUUCGAUGCAACGCGAAGAACCUUACCAAGGCUUGACAUAUACGAGAACGCUGCAGAAAUGUGGAACUCUUUGGACACUCGUAUACAGGUGGUGCAUGGUUGUCGUCAGCUCGUGUCGUGAGAUGUUGGGUUAAGUCCCGCAACGAGCGCAACCCUCGUUCUAUGUUGCCAGCACGUUAUGGUGGGAACUCAUAGGAGACUGCCGGGGUCAACUCGGAGGAAGGUGGGGAUGACGUCAAAUCAUCAUGCCCCUUAUGUCUUGGGCUUCACGCAUGCUACAAUGGCCGGUACAAAGGGCUGCGAUACCGUAAGGUGGAGCGAAUCCCAAAAAGCCGGUCUCAGUUCGGAUUGAGGUCUGCAACUCGACCUCAUGAAGUCGGAGUCGCUAGUAAUCGCAGAUCAGCAACGCUGCGGUGAAUACGUUCCCGGGCCUUGUACACACCGCCCGUCAAGUCAUGAAAGUCGGUAACACCCGAAGCCGGUGGCCCAACC